GCUGGGCUUGGUAGCGUAAGUCUGUAGCCCAAGUGGGAGCAUUAAGAUAGUGGAAUAAAUGCGCUUACCUUGAAGGCUGGGCUUGUGAUGCUAUUUACUGGCCUGCCCGUUCCAAGUGGUGAGUCUGGCUGUGGAGUCUCUGCGAAGGCCGAGGCCUAUUGGCCCUUAGAUUGGAGGGCACCGUGUCAGGCUGGUUUCACAGAGCAGCGAACACCUCCUCCUCUCUGCAGUGGAAGGAUAACGGGCCGGAGCAUCAAAGGUCCAUUAGUCCUAAUGGGUUGUCCAAAUUGAACCACCAUCUUU
rnacentral:SRP_RNA from 1 species